GUUUCGAUGGUCCAACGGCAGGAUACUCGCCUUCCAAGCGAGUGGCCCGGGUUCGACUCCCGGUCGAUACA